GACGAACGCUGGCGGCGUGCUUAACACAUGCAAGUCGAACGAAGUGGCGAACGGGUGAGUAACGCGUAAUCAACCUGCCCUUCAGAGGGGGACAACAGUUGGAAACGACUGCUAAUACCGCAUACUGCAGGGGGGGCUUGCGUCUGAUUAGCUGGUUGGAGGGGUAACGGACCAACAGGGCGAUGAUCAGUAGCCGGUCUGAUAGGAUGACCGGCUACAUGGGGACUGAGACACGGCCCAGACUCCGACGGUAGUCAGCAGUGGGGAGUAUUGGACAAUGGGCGAAAGCCUGAUCCAGCCAUGCCGCGUGUGUGAAGAAGGUCUUCGGAUUGUAAAGCACUUUAAGUUGGGAGGCGUUACCAACAGAAUAAGCACCGGCUAACUUCGUGCCAGCAGCCGCGGUAAUAC
rnacentral:rRNA from 1 species